rnacentral:rRNA from 1 species
GACUAAUGUUGAAAAAUUAGCGGAUGACUUGUGGCUGGGGGUGAAAGGCCAAUCAAACCGGGAGAUAGCUGGUUCUCCCCGAAAGCUAUUUAGGUAGCGCCUCGUGAAUUCAUCUUCGGGGGUAGAGCACUGUUUCGGCUAGGGGGUCAUCCCGACUUACCAACCCGAUGCAAACUACGAAUACCGAAGAAUGUUAUCACGGGAGACACACGGCGGGUGCUAACGUCCGUCGUGAAGAGGGAAACAACCCAGACCGCCAGCUAAGGUCCCAAAGUCAUGGUUAAGUGGGAAACGAUGUGGGAAGGCACAGACAGCCAGGAUGUUGGCUUAGAAGCAGCCAUCAUUUAAAGAAAGCGUAAUAGCUCACUGGUCGAGUCGGCCUGCGCGGAAGAUGUAACGGGGCUAAACCAUGCACCGAAGCUGCGGCAGCGACACUAUGUGUUGUUGGGUAGGGGAGCGUUCUGUAAGCCUGCGAAGGUGACCUGUGAGGG